CGAAGUCUCAAUUCCGUAGUGCAUUGCAGUGCAUCCUGCCCCCUGCAAGCAGUGCGGAAGUGAGGCAGCGGC
rnacentral:pre_miRNA from 1 species